GCUACGGAGUGGGUCGACUUCACUCUUCGGCGCCAUCAUCUUGACGCAAAAUCCAAGAUGGCAGAGCGAGGGCGGGUCACAAACUACCCUCUCCGCCCGCACCUUGGGCGUAACCGACAAAAGCGUAAAUAUGCUGAAUAGUCAAUUUUCGGCUGUCUAGCAACACAUCUUUCACCUUGUCAAAGCAUUCUUCCUCUAAGUCUUGGAACCAAGAAGGAGCCAAGCCUGAAGGUGGAGGACCUGCAUGUUAGGGUGAAGAGAGAAGGUGAGGAAUGGGGCUGAAGAGGAACCAUAGACUUAGUGCCAUCUGUGCCAGACCUUGUCUUCAGCUGCUGGCAGAGGGUGCACUCUUGUGGGAUGUGUGUCUCUCCCAGGCAUCGGACACAGCGAGAAUGUGUGUCUUCUACAGGAAUUGCUUCCUUGCAGGAGAGGCAGCUCGUGAAACCGGGGGAGUCAGGCAUGCCCCUGGUGAGGCUAUCAA